rnacentral:misc_RNA from 1 species
AGGUGUCCGCUGCGAAAUGGGAUGCCCGGUGCCUAUGCCAUCCUCCCCCCCCACCCAUCCACGAUGGGUGGCCAGGCAUAGGCAGUCCCGGGUCGUCGGGCUUGGUGGUCGGUCCGGCGGUCUCCGACCGUCGAUCCGGUCGUCAUUCCGGCGAUCACGGGCUGGUGGGAUAGGAGGGCUGUGUUGGUCUUUUUCGAGGGGAGACGGACGGUUUAUCUCGGAUUUUGAUUUUUCCAACGUAUUUGAAGGGCAAGCGUUGCACRUCCUCGCUUGUGGAUGCGGAGAAUACCGCGGUCGGGUUAAGAUGUGGGUUUUAACCUCUCGGAGGAGCACAACACUGUCUUUACUUUCUCAUUUGGCCCUCGAAAGAGAUUUUUCAAUAGUGGUUGGUUUUCAAAAAAAAAUUCAAAAUUCGUUCGUUUUCAAAAGUUUUUGACCCUGUCCCGUCGGAAGUUUUGUCCCUUGGUCUGGUGGGCUAGUAGUGCUGUGUUGAACUCUUUCCGAGGGGAGAGGGACGGUUCAUCUCGUAUUUCGAUCCUUCCAACGUGUUUGAAGGGCAAGCGACGCUCGACCUCGCUUGUGGAUGCGGAUAAUACUGCGGUCGGGUCAAGAUGCGAGUUUUAACCUCUCGGAGGAGCACAACACUGUCUUUACUUUCUCAUUUGGCCCUCGAAAGAGAUUUUUCAAUAGUGGUUGGUUUUCAAAAAAAUAUUCAAAAUUCGUUGGUUUUCAAAAUUUUUGACCCUGUCCCUUAAAGGUUAUUGUCCCUCGGAUUGUGUGUUUCUUCAUGUGAAGCGGUGCUGGUGUSKUUACUUUCUCAUUUGGCCCUCAAAAGAGAUUUUUCAAUAGUGGUUGGUUUUCAAAAAAAUAUUCAAAAUUCGUUGGUUUUCAAAAUUUUUGACCCUGUCCCUUAAAGGUUAUUGUCCCUCGGAUUGUGUGUUUCUUCAUGUGAAGCGGUGCUGGUGUGGUCUUGCUUGAUGUUUCCGCAUGCUCGGCGGUUCUAGUAAUCGUCGGGUUGUGGUUCGUUCGGUUGGGUCAUCAUCAAGUGUACGCAACUCAUGUGUGAGUGGUGGUCGGAUGGCAUGGGUCUGCAAGCUCCUUGCUCAGCGCAACGAAUUGUAAACUCUCCAUCCUUUUCAUAGUCUUCCCCAAGCAUGGUCAUUUGCCUUGUGGGUAAGAUCGGUAUCCUGUGUUUUUUACCAAUUGAAUGGAAUUCGAUUGUUUUCAUUUCUCUAUUCGCCCGGUUCCCUUAGGGGUGUUGGGCGGACGGUAGGCUGACUCCGUGUUCCAGGUACAUCUCGCAUUUUUGUGUGGUUACCGUGGCCCAUGGGGUUAUGCUUGUUCUCUCGGAUGCGGAUCGUUAGUUGUGGGCGAGGGGUUACGACCUCCAUUCGUCCAAGCUAUUAUGCAUUUGUCAAUCGGCACGGACGACUGCUGCACUCGUCUUGGCCUUUACAGUUGAAUGGCUGUACAGUGUCCAUGCGAGUGUCGGUGUCGUGAAGGAAUGC